rnacentral:rRNA from 1 species
UUCCAGACUCCUACGGGAGGCAGCAGUCGGGAAUAUUGCGCAAUGGAGGAAACUCUGACGCAGUGACGCCGCGUGCAGGAAGAAGGUUUUCGGAUUGUAAACUGCUUUAGAUAGGGAAGAAAAAAAUGACAGUACCUAUAGAAUAAGCUCCGGCUAACUCCGUGCCAGCAGCCGCGGUAAUACGGAGGAUGCGAGCGUUAUCCGGAUUUAUUGGGUUUAAAGGGUGCGUAGGCGGACGCUUAAGUCAGCGGUAAAAUUGCGGGGCUCAACCUCGUCGAGCCGUUGAAACUGGGUGCCUUGAGUGGGCGAGAAGUACGCGGAAUGCGUGGUGUAGCGGUGAAAUGCAUAGAUAUCACGCAGAACUCCGAUUGCGAAGGCAGCGUACCGGCGCCCAACUGACGCUGAAGCACGAAGGCGUGGGUAUCGAACAGGAUUAGAUACCCCCGUAG